rnacentral:rRNA from 1 species
UUUCCGGUUGAUCCUGCCGGACCCCACUGCUAUUGGGAUGGGACUAAGACAUGUUAGUCGAGCGUCUCUAAGCUAUGAUGGAGACGCGGCGUACAGCUCAGUAACACGUGGCUAACCUGCCCUUGGGACAGGGAUAACCCCGGGAAACUGGGGCUAAUACUUGAUAGGUGAGAACUCCUGGAAUGGAUUCUCGCUGAAAGGGCGUCUAGAUCAUGCUUUUAGGCGUCGCCCAAGGAGGGGGCCGCGGCCGAUCAGGUUGUUGGUGAGGUAACGGCUCACCAAGCCUUUAACCGGUACGGGCCGUGAGAGCGGUAGCCCGGAGAUGGGUACUGAGACAAGGGCCCAGGCCCUACGGGGCGCAGCAGUCGCGAAAACUCACCAAUUCACGAAAGUGUGAGUGGGCCAUCCCGAGUGCCGUCCGCUGAGGAUGGCUUUUCCUUAGUGUACAAAGCUGGGGGAAUAAGGAGAGGGCAAGUCUGGUGUCAGCCGCCGCGGUAAUACCAGCUCUCCGAGUGGUGGGGAUGUUUAUUGGGCCUAAAGCAUUCGUAGCCUGCUGGACAAGUCCUCCGUUAAAUCCAACGAUUCAAUCGUUGGGCCGCGGGGGAUACUGUUCGGCUAGGGGGCGGAAGAGGUCGACGGUAUUCUCGGGGUAGGGGUGAAAUCCUAUAAUCCCGGGAGGACCACCAGUGGCGAAGGCUGUCGGCUAGAACGCGCCCGACGGUGAGGGAUGAAAGCUGGGGGAGCGAACCGGAUUAGAUACCCGGGUAGUCCCAGCCGUAAACGAUGCAGGCUAGGUGUUGGCGCGGCUACGUGCCGCUCCAGUGCCGCAGGGAAGCCGUUAAGCCUGCCGCCUGGGAAGUACGGCCGCAAGGCUGAAACUUAAAGGAAUUGGCGGGGGAGCACCACAAGGGGUGAAGCUUGCGGUUUAAUUGGAGUCAACGCCGGA